rnacentral:lncRNA from 1 species
GUCAAGCUAAGUGUUGAACAUGAAUCUGCACCUCCUAUGCUGACUUUUUUAAGUGCUUCAAAGAAAUAGGAGUUGUCAAUUUUGAUGGAUAUGUGCAAGUUCAUGCAUAAUCAACAACAAACUUACUAGAAAUAUACAAAAAUUAAAGAUGACUCAAUUAGAAAUACUUUUAAGAAUAUCUCUAAUACUUUUGUUCCUGAGUUCCCAGAUGCUAUCUUUGAGAC